GACGAACGCUGGCGGCGUGCUUAACACAUGCAAGUCGAACGGAAAGGCCCUGCUUUUGUGGGGUGCUCGAGUGGCGAACGGGUGAGUAACCUGCCCUUGACUUUGGGAUAACUUCAGGAAACUGGGUCUAAUACCGGAUAGUAGCUCCUGCUGCUUGGUGGGGGUUGGAAAGUUUCGGCGGUUGGGGAUGGACUCGCGGCUUAUCAGCUUGUUGGUGGGGUAGUGGCUUACCAAGGCUUUGACGGGUAGCCGGCCUGAGAGGGGGACCGGCCACAUUGGGACUGAGAUACGGCCCAGACUCCUACGGGAGGCAGCAGUGGGGAAUAUUGCACAAUGGGCGGAAGCCUGAUGCAGUAACGCCGCGUGCGGGAUGACGGCCUUCGGGUUGUAAACCGCUUUCGCCUGUGACGAAGCGUGAGUGACGGUAAUGGGUAAAGAAGCACCGGCUAACUACGUG
rnacentral:rRNA from 1 species